rnacentral:rRNA from 1 species
CGGGGUGAGUAACGCGUGGGUAACCUGCCUUGUACAGGGGGAUAACAGUUGGAAACGGCUGCUAAUACCGCAUAAGCGCACGGCAUCGCAUGAUGCAGUGUGAAAAACUCCGGUGGUAUAAGAUGGACCCGCGUUGGAUUAGCUAGUUGGUGAGGUAACGGCCCACCAAGGCGACGAUCAGUAGCCGACCUGAGAGGGCGACCGGCCACAUUGGGACUGAGACACGGCCCAA